rnacentral:rRNA from 1 species
CCUACGGGAGGCAGCAGUGGGGAAUUUUGGACAAUGGGGGCAACCCUGAUCCAGCCAUGCCGCGUGAGUGAAGAAGGCCUUCGGGUUGUAAAGCUCUUUCAGACGGAAAGAAAACGCAUCGGUGAAUACCCGGUGUGGAUGACGGUAGCGUAAGAAGAAGCACCGGCUAACUACGUGCCAGCAGCCGCGGUAA